rnacentral:lncRNA from 1 species
CUUGUAGAGUAGAAACCCCCUCUCAACCUUGCCAAAGCCUUCUGUUUUAGAGAUAGGUGCACCUCAAUAGUCUCCUCUUCAUCUGCACCGAUCUGAAAUCAUGGGUUAGGUGAAAACAUCAGUGCAGAUUGAGUAGGCAUAGAGAGUGGAGAGGAAACCACUUUAGACUAUUUGAAUAUACCCAUUGAGAAACUUCACACUUGCAUCUGGGACCCGGCAGCUGCAUCACAAAAAUCACAAGUUGAAGAAUUUUGCACAAUAACUGUGAGGAAUGAUGCCAACAUUGUAAAAUUUGUGCAAUUAGUCCUAGGUUAUGAGAAGAAAGUGCAAAAAGAAACCUCUGGGCAACUUGCCGCUAGCCUGCCAGACUCAUCAGCAGUGGCGUGAAUUCAUGAAUGCCAGAAGAAGCAUCCAUGAUCCAACCAUAAAUUCAUAGAUUAUGCCCCUGGAAUAAGAGGAUGUAAGUUCAAUGUGUAGCUAGAUGUAAAAGGCUAAUGUUAACGUUGCCCAUGAAAGGAAGUUAGGCUAGCGAGCAAGCAUUUUAGCCAGGUAGCCUGGGACAACAAAUAAAAGCGUGUACUGUAUGACAGAGUCAUAGACCAUUUCGUCAGCAUGAAAGAACAGAGGAUGGCAUUGGCGUUUCUCUACAAGUAGGGCAAAUGGAACUGAAACAUGCAUGAGAGCACCAGCUGUUCUGGAAGACCGCUCUCCGCAGCUGAUGCAAUCCAUCGUUUAUAGACCUUUUGGGCAUUAUAACAUUCUUACCAUCUACGGUCAUCAUUUUGAACAACCCAAAGCCAACCAUGUCGACCAAGGAGGAGACACCCGCCGACGGAGACAAACCGCAGACGUCCUCCUGGAAAGAUUCUAUCUACAACCCACGAACAGGAGAGUUUAUUGGCCGAACCGCUAAAAGCUGGGGAACAGGAGCAAUGACACUAGGCUUCAGUCAACAACCUGCCAUCCAGGACUUCUAUAACAGGCGGUGUCAGAGGAAGUCCCCAAAAAUGAUCAAAUACUCCAGCCAUCCAA